UACGUAGGGUGCGAGCGUUGUCCGGAUUUAUUGGGCGUAAAGAGCUCGUAGGCGGUUUGUCGCGUCGGCCGUGAAAUCUCCACGCUUAACGUGGAGCGUGCGGUCGAUACGGGCAGACUUGAGUUCGGUAGGGGGAGACUGGAAUUCCUGGUGUAGCGGUGAAAUGCGCAGAUAUCAGGAGGAACACCGGUGGCGAAGGGCGGGGUCUCUGGGGCCGAUACUGACGCUGAGGAGCGAAAGCGUGGGGAGCGAACAGG
rnacentral:rRNA from 1 species